rnacentral:rRNA from 1 species
AUUGAACGCUGGCGGAAUGCUUUACACAUGCAAGUCGGGCGGCAGCGCGGGGGCAACCCUGGCGGCGAGCGGCGAACGGGUGAGUAAUGCAUCGGAACGUGCCAUUGAGUGGGGGAUAACGUAGCGAAAGUUACGCUAAUACCGCAUAUUCUGUGAGCAGGAAAGCAGGGGACCGCAAGGCCUUGCGCUCUUUGAGCGGCCGAUGUCAGAUUAGCUAGUUGGUGAGGUAAAGGCUUACCAAGGCGACGAUCUGUAGCGGGUCUGAGAGGAUGAUCCGCCACACUGGAACUGAGACACGGUCCAGACUCCUACGGGAGGCAGCAGUGGGGAAUUUUGGACAAUGGGCGCAAGCCUGAUCCAGCCAUGCCGCGUGAGUGAAGAAGGCCUC